rnacentral:rRNA from 1 species
UACAGAGGGUGCGAGCGUUGUCCGGAAUCACUGGGCGUAAAGGGCGCGUAGGCGGCUUUUCAAGCGUGCGGUGAAAGCUCGGGGCUUAACUCCGAGUCUGCCGUGCGAACUGGGAGGCUUGAGUCUGGUAGAGGUCGAUGGAAUUCCGGGUGUAGCGGUGGAAUGCGUAGAGAUCCGGAAGAACACCGGUGGCGAAGGCGGUCGACUGGGCCAGAACUGACGCUGAGGUGCGACAGCGUGGGGAGCAAACAGG